UUUGAUUUUAUUUAGUUAUCCUUUAUGUUGUUAUAAUAACUUGGGUAUGCUUUAUUCAAUCGGUUGGAGGUCUACGCGCAAAUGAGGGGGGUCAAUUAAAUGUUGGGGCCCUGACUGAAACGUUUGGUGGGCGUUGUUCCUGUAGUUGCUGGAGUAUGGGGAGUGGUUGGUGGGCCCUUCACGGUAGGGUGUUAGUUUAAGUGACAUUGUAGAUGGUCGGUCGUUCGUUACACCCACGGAGGUUGUUCCUCGUGUGGGUUCCACAUUUGUUUGUCUU